AGCAUCGCUGGGUCAAGUGGAUCGAGAUAAAAGGAGACUAGGUUCAGAACAAAAUUGCUACUUUUCCAAAAUUUUCGUUUUUAUUUUCAAGGCUAAGUACUUAUCGGACCGCCCUAGUAGCAGAAGGAAGUACAGUUUGAACUGUAGCCUAAAUAAGAUAAUAUAUUUUGUUUCUUUUUGCAAAUUUCUGUUUAUUUAUAUAGUCGUUUGCUCAGUAGUUAUUUGAGGUUUGGAUGAAAUACAAUUUUUAUUCUAAAUCGAAUACUUUUGUCACGGCGUUGUAAACGUCGUUUUAUGAAAAUUUAGGAUGCUCUCAAAUAAACACUGACCUGUUUGUUAUUUCUAUACACAUAGUUAAAAUUUUUUCAUAUGUUUUCAUUUAUUAUUUUAUAAAUAUUUAAUUUUAUACACGAUAAGUUCGAGGAGUUUUAUGUAUUAGCUAAUGCUUAUAUUAUUAUUAAAGUAUAAUUCAAUAAGCGAUGCAGAAGACCUAAAAAACCAUCGGGAAAGGAAUUAUCUCAGUACCGAUCAUGCGGACAUGAGAGAAUUUCUUCUCAUUUGUUCAAUAGAAAAAUUUGAUUGUUCUUGAUAGUUGCAUUUUUUUACGCAAAUUUUUUAUUCCAAUUAUUGUGAGACUAAUUGCUUCCUUUUGGGAUGAUACGUAUUAAGGAUGAAUAAAUAAAAUCACGAGGAAGGAUUCUCAUUUUUUUUUCGAAUUUGAUCGUUAUGCUUAUUGUAUUAUGCCCGUGAUAGACGAAAGAAGAGGGCUAGGUCGAAGAAGAACGGCAUGGCUUAAAACCUGAGAGAAUGGUUUAACAGAUCAUCUGCAUCCCUUUUCCGAGAUGCCGUCAAAAAAUUACUACAGCCAAUUUGAUAGAUACGCUCGAUAAUCGAGCACGACAUAUGAAGAAGGAAGAUGUCUUGUUAUUCUGUACGGUCGGUGUAUAGUAUCUUCAUUUAUGCGUGGCAUUGACAGUCUUGUUCUUCUUUUAUUUAAUUUUACUGGACUUUUAGAUGUUUUUGAUAUUAAAUUCAGUUCUUUUACUGUUGCUUAUCCACAGUUAAUGUUGAUAUCAUCUACCUUGAAAAAAGACGGACACUUUAUACAUAGACUGUUACCACUUAUAAUAUCUCAAUUUCUGUAGUUUAUACAAAAGUCUACAUAGCAAUCGUCUAAAGGGCGUAAAUAUCCAGUCAUCUCUGUAUAAAACAUUGUAGAUCUUCAGUAGUUUUUAUUUUGUGUCGUAUACGUUAGAUGGCGCUUAUGUACUUUUGUCCACUGUAUAGUGGAUAAAAUGAUUCGAUAGCCUGGUUUUUCCGACUUAGGCUCGAUGUACAUUUGCGUGUUUUCAAGCUGCGAGCAAGCUACGUACGAUCGCUAGCAGUUCAUGAGUUGAAUUUAUUCACUGCACACUCGAGUUAAGCCGCGGCGUGCAAGUGACUUACAAGCGGCGUGGACCAAGAGCACGCCACUUUCUGCUACACCGCCACGUGCACGCCGCUUGAAAACAAGUCAGGCGGUUUGUGAUGGAUAAUGAUUCAGUACACGUUGACCGCGCGAUCGAUUUUAACGUAGAUACAGAGCUGUUUAUUUCUGGCGUGUAUUGACCCCCAGAAACCGCUCAAACGUAUGUUGACGGGAAACUUGGCUUGAAAACAAGCAGCGUGCACGCAACUUAAAAACGCGUAAAUGUGUAUCGAGCCUUACAGUUCGUUUUGAGCCUACCACUAUCUGAAAUGCUACAAGCACAACGAAACAUGUCAUAAUUUUAGACAAAAAUUGAGCUGAAACCGUUAGUUACCGAGAAAUUGUUUUCAUAUAACCUAAACGCAAGUUUUUUAUAUCUAAUUGUAGAGCAUAUGCCUUUUACGUGUGCAUUAAUUCGAUUUGAAGUUUAAGAAAUAGCAGCAAGUCAGGAGUAGCAUAUUUUCAGAUGUAAAAGUUUAGCACACAAAUUAUUUCUUUGCUGCAUCGCUUAUUGGAAUGAACAGUAUAAAUCAAAGAACGAAAUAAUGGUCAGUGAUGCAUCCGAAAGUAUUUAAAAUAGAAAGGGAAUACACUAUUCUCUUUCGCACAGCGUUGCCACAUCGUUGUGAUAAUAGGAAAUAUAGCGAAUUCUGAAAAUUUAAGAUUGUAGUUUUGUUAAUUCAUCGGUUCAUAUGACGUCAUUGAAUCUCACGUGCAUUACAGUUUUAGGCUUUCACGAUGCGUCACUGCCAAUUAUUUCGUAUUUGGUUAUAAAAAACGUACUAUUAAUGACUGCAUAUAGCAGAUAAUUAUAUUUUCUUUUGUGAAAAUGCUCAAUACACGAGGUGUAUGUAAUAUUAUUAUUGUAUACGUGUUUCUUGCAUUUUUAUAAUAAUAAUGAUAGAAAAAUGUGUUAUCACCUUUUCCUUUCACUAGCACUGUGAUUUUUAUUUGUAAUGUACGUUGUUCGGCAAUAUAGAUUGGUAUGCUGGCGGGAAAAAACAUUUGCGUCACUUUGAAAUUGUGAUUGUUUUACGAUUAUAGCAUAUAACUAUUAAUGCUGUAUCCAAAUAAGGUCUGUCAUGAUUUUUUAUGUACAUAUUUGUUGUAAUUUUAGCUGCAUUAUUCCUCUGACGGACACACAGACCACAUAAAAUAAAAUCAAAAAUCUUUUUAAAUUCUUAGUUUGAGUAUUUGAGUCAGUAAGAAAAGUUGGUUUAAUAACGUUUAUUAUCUCUUGAAUCUUUGCUGGAUGUCGAAGAGACAUACAUGUAGUUAAUGAAGAAAUAUUUGGGAACGUUAUUUCUUCGCAUGACGAGCAAUAAUUUCACUUUAGGUAUUUCUUAGCGAGGUAUAUGUUUUUGGUUAUGUCGUACAGAUUAGGUCGCUGAGAUUGAGAUCUGGACUAAGUGUUGGUCAAUAUAACCGCUUAAUGCCCUUUUCGUCUUAAUAAUCUCCGACCACCAUGUAAGGUUUCGCGUUAUCAUCGAUGGAAAUGCCAUUACCAUCGGUGGUAAGCCUGAAAGGUAUAUAUGGUAUUCUAUAACUUGUAAUACACUUGGUAAGUGGUGUCAAAACACACAAGUAAAACUUUAUUCCGUGAAUUGGCGCAGAGACCUAAAACUUGAUCCAAAAUAGCAGCCUAAAGAAGGUUCGGUGAGCAGCUUAGCUGUUGCUGCAUCAGGGGUUAUUCAUAGAAGUGGUGGAUAGUUUAGUUAUGGAUUGGAAGAUAUGUGUACUUUUAAUCUUGUAUAAUGGUCUCUGGAAAUUAUAAUUGCUGAACGGGUGUGUGACUGUAGUUUAGUGUGGCUUAAGGAACACCCGUGUGUUGAGAGAUCUUAAAUAUUCAAGGUAUGGACAGCAAAUGCUCUGGACUAGUGGAUUGUAGAGAUGCUCGAAAGUGCAGUACAGUCUGAAAAUGGCUUCUUCUGCAAUUGGUUUGUUCUACAAAAUGGUUUUUUUUUAAACAAAAGCCGUGCGCCACAAAAUGACAUUUAUUGGCUGAUGGCUUCCUCUAACCUAAAGACAUGAAUUUUUAUUUUAUCUCUUUAUCAAUGGGGGAAUGAUUACAGUCCUGUUGGACAGGGAAGUGGGCAGCGUGAAUGUGUAAAUAGCUCACUCGCGCUGCCGCUGCUCAUGCUACUGCCAUUGCACGGCGCUUCCCAAAAAUUCGGUUUUUGGGACGGAAGUCAAAGGAGAGGCAGCGUGAAUGCGAGUGAGUAUUAGUCAUGAGGACAUUGCCGACAUUGGUGCGAACACUUCACUCGCGUCGAUAUCGUAUUUCAGGCAAUAUUUCCGACACCGGCAUUAGCAGUGGCAAAGGCUGGGUAUAAAUCCGGCAUAUGAUAUACUCGACCAUAUUGUAACUACAUUACAAGUUUUGUUACAACAUGUAAGUGAUUUUGACUUUUUAAAUAGGGCUUUUCAUUCACAGUCAUUUGUUUCGAACUUCUGUCAUGUGUCACAUAAUAUUAAUAUAUCUACGUCAUACGUUAUUGGCAUAUACUUAUGAUACAAACCAAAGACGUAUGACGUAGAUAUAUUAAUAUUAUAUGACACAUGACAGACGUUCGAAACAAAUGACAAUCGAUGAAAAGCCCUAUAAGACGACAGAAAUUACGCUUUAUUGAAAAUAAGCAGAUCAGUAUGAAUUUUAUACUUUCAAGCGAAUGCACGCUAUAAAAUGUUAUCAAUACAGUUACAGUAGGUACAUGACAGAUGACGUAAAUGACGAAUGAUACUUGUCCGUAAACAAUUUGCAGUGGUUUAUAAAUAACACGUUACAAUUUCAAAGUGAGCUAUAUUUUAUGCAUGCCAGUGUACUUAUAAAAGGUCAGUUCUGUGAUUGUUUUUUGGGCACAUGUUAACAUAACAUCUUAGUUACCUUUGUAAGUAUAUUUGGAUAUUUCUGUAUUGUGCUGAUUUUUUAGUGUAACGUUACCGAAUUUCAAAAUUGUGAUAUAAUGAAUUUAAAUAAAUAUGCAUACUAAUAUAA
rnacentral:lncRNA from 1 species